UACGUAGGGGGCGAGCGUCGUCCGGAAUUACUGGGCGUAAAGGGCGCGUAGGCGGCCUGCUAAGUCGAACGUGAAAUCCCCGGGCUCAACCCGGGAACUGCGUUCGUUACUGGCUGGCUUGAAUCCGGGAGAGGGAUGCGGAAUUCCAGGUGUAGCGGUGAAAUGCGUAGAUAUCUGGAGGAACACCGGUGGCGAAGGCGGCAUCCUGGACCGGCAUUGACGCUGAGGCGCGAAAGCCAGGGGAGCAAACGGG
rnacentral:rRNA from 1 species